UGAGCUCACAGAGCUCUACCUCCCUCUGCCUCUCAAGUGCUAGGAUCAAAGGUUUGUGCCACCACCGCCACCACUCAGCAAAAAUGACUUUUUUUUUCUUUAAGGUUUUCUGAAGAUAAUGUGGGCAUUGGUGUCCACGCUUGUAAAAUGAGGAUGGUUCUAUCUACCGUCCCAUGGGGAUCACAUGGCGUAGACCUGCUGCGCUUUUUGUGGAACCUAGAUAUAUAUAGUCCCAAGUUCCCUAGUGAGAAAGAGCUAAGCAAUUCUUUGUGUGUGUGUGUGUUGUGUAGGCAGUGCGUUUGGUUGUCUCUGUAUAACAUGAUGGGCCAUGUCUGUUUUGGAGUGGUGGUGGAUGAAGGCUAUGUUGAGAAGGAAAGACCUAGGAGCUGUGACUUGCAGCCCAAGGCAAAGAAGACAAUUCUGAGGUUGGGACAUAGCCAGGCUGCCUUCAAAAGUGAUGACCCAAUCCCAGGGUUUUGCAAAGCUGAACAUCCAUAGAUGAUUUCAGUGCAGAGUAGCUGACCUGAUUGUGUUCCAUGGAAACCAUCCGUUUGGAGACCCUAGCUGGGGAAGGUCAUGGUGAAAAUCUUCAAGCCUCCAUGAGUUGCAGAAACAAGAGAGGCAUGUGUGCAUCUAUCUGGAUGCUCAGAAAUACAGGUUUUCAACUAGUGGAGCUUCAGUAAAUAUUGAUGAAUUGGACAUCCUAGAGAGGUGCCCUGGGGCAGCUCAACAUGGUGAGCCCCCUGACAUGGACGACUCCAUGGGAUCAGCAUCCAGAGUGAACAAGUUCUCAACAGCCACAGAGAAGCAUCACAUGAACUGUGGUGCAAGCAUUAAGAUGGCCUGAGUCAAGGAGCAGCUUUACUCUGAGAAGGCCUCCCCCUGACCCAAGCUGGACAGUAGAGCAUCAUUUAUUCAAUCAAUCAAUCAAUCAAUCAACCAAUCAAUCAACCAACCAAUCACUCUACGUUGCAAUUGGUGUUUUGUUUUUUUCUUUUUUUGAGAUAGGGUCUCACUAUGUAGCCUUGGCUGGUCUGGAACUUGGUAUGUAGACCAGGCUGGCCUCAUCCAGAUCUCCAUGUCUUUCUUCCUGCCUCCUGAGUGCUGGGAUUAAAAGUGUGCACUGCCAUUGUUUGACUAGAAACCUGGCCCCAAAGACUCCAAUAAACAUGUUGCUGGUACUGUAUGGCCAGUGCCAAACCCAGUGACCCUCAGUCCGCAUCCGCAGCAUUAGAACUGAGUUCUCUGUGUGAUACUGUCUUGGUGACUGUGAGGAAAUUUGGAGAGAAUCAGCCAAUUGGAGAAGAUACUGGUCAUAGCUGUCACAUCCCAAUAGACAUUUUCUCAGUUACACGUUCAUCUCAAAGGACUGAAGGAAGCAGCAGAGAGAUGGUCCAGUUCUCAGAUGGCCUUCAGCUUUGGCCCCCUUGGGCCAUCGAGGAGAAGUCUGCCUGACCCAGCGAGAAGUCUGCUUGACACUCUUGACGGUCUUGAAAGGUGUGGUAAAAAAAAGCCCUUGGAGCAUCUCCCUGUCAGCCAGGCCAGAGCAACAGGUACUGUGGGCUUUAGCAAGAGGACCAUGGAGAACCAGGCUGCCCUUCAACACUCUUAAGAUGUCUUCUGAUAAACAACCAACUCAUUGGCAUUCAAGUCCUUCUUUCCACAGGAUGCUAAGAAUCAGGUCUGCACCAGGCCAUCACACUGAUGUCAUAAUGGCAGCUUCUUAUCCUUUGUUAACAGCUUUUUGCUCAUUUCCUCCUGAGAGAUCGUCAGAAUGGGCUUCGGCAUCCAUUCGACCAGCAUGCUGGACAGGACCUUGAUCUCAAGGGAGAGCAAAGCCUUCCCCAUGGCACUCCUCACCUAAUGGCCGAGUGAGUCCUCUCCAGAAUCCCCUUCAGCCAGCGCCUUCAUGGCAAUGCUCUGGCCAUCUUGCAAACCCCUCAAAGUCUUCCCACCUCUCUCACUGCACCCUAAAGCCAGGGCUGCAUUUUUAUAUAUUUGUUUUACAGGAUUUCCCCCCCCCCCCACUCCCGUUUUCCAACUAGUUUGUUUUAUUCUGAUGUCAGAAGAAAUAAAAGAGUUGUUUAAACAA